GACGAACGCUGGCGGCGUGCCUAACACAUGCAAGUCGAGCGGAGUUUACGCUGUAGUUUACUACGGUGUGAACUUAGCGGCGGACGGGUGAGUAACGCGUGAGCAACCUGCCCUAUACAGGGGGAUAACAUCGGGAAACCGAUGCUAAUACCCCAUGACACCGGGACAUCGCAUGAUGGUCUGGUCAAAGGAGGAAUCCGGUAUAGGAUGGGCUCGCGUCCCAUUAGCUAGUUGGUGAGGUAACGGCUCACCAAGGCGACGAUGGGUAGCCGACCUGAGAGGGUGAUCGGCCACACUGGGACUGAGACACGGCCCAGACUCCUACGGGAGGCAGCAGUGGGGAAUAUUGCGCAAUGGGGGGAACCCUGACGCAGCAACGCCGCGUGAGUGAGGAAGGCCUUCGGGUCGUAAAGCUCUGUCAUUAGGGACGAAUUAAGUGACGGUACCUAAGGAGGAAGCCCCGGCUAACUACGUG
rnacentral:rRNA from 1 species